rnacentral:rRNA from 1 species
UACGUAGGGCGCAAGCGUUAUCCGGAAUUAUUGGGCGUAAAGAGCUCGUAGGCGGUUUGUCGCGUCUGCCGUGAAAGUCCGGGGCUCAACUCCGGAUCUGCGGUGGGUACGGGCAGACUAGAGUGAUGUAGGGGAGACUGGAAUUCCUGAUGUGCAGGUCGGAAAUGCGCAGAUAUCAGGAGGAACACCGAUGGCGAAGGCAGGUCUCUGGGCAUUAACUGACGCUGAGGAGCGAAAGCAUGGGGAGCGAACAGG